GAUGAACGCUGGCGGCGUGCCUAAUACAUGCAAGUCGAGCGAACAGAUGAGGAGCUUGCUCCUCUGACGUUAGCGGCGGACGGGUGAGUAACACGUGGAUAACCUACCUAUAAGACUGGGAUAACUUCGGGAAACCGGAGCUAAUACCGGAUAAUAUAUUGAACCGCAUGGUUCAAUAGUGAAAGACGGUUUUGCUGUCACUUAUAGAUGGAUCCGCGCCGCAUUAGCUAGUUGGUAAGGUAACGGCUUACCAAGGCAACGAUGCGUAGCCGACCUGAGAGGGUGAUCGGCCACACUGGAACUGAGACACGGUCCAGACUCCUACGGGAGGCAGCAGUAGGGAAUCUUCCGCAAUGGGCGAAAGCCUGACGGAGCAACGCCGCGUGAGUGAUGAAGGUCUUCGGAUCGUAAAGCUCUGUUAUUAGGGAAGAACAAAUGUGUAAGUAACUAUGCACGUCUUGACGGUACCUAAUCAGAAAGCCACGGCUAACUACGUA
rnacentral:rRNA from 1 species